CUGCCCGGAAAGCAGAAGAUGCGGGUUCGAGUCCCGCCUGGCGCA
rnacentral:tRNA from 1 species